rnacentral:lncRNA from 1 species
AGUGUUGCCAAUUCUAGAAUCAAGCAUGAAAUUGGGUUGAGGGUGUAGCUCAGCGGUAGAGCCACUGUGUCACAUCAUGAGGCCCUGGGUUCGCUUCCCAGCACCACGAAAAAAAAUGACACACAAGAAAAUAAAGUAAAAAAUAAAUAAGGAAAGGAAAGAAAAGAAAGUCAACUAGCUGGGCCCAGUGGCAAAAACCUGUAAUCCCAGCUACUUGGGAACCUGAGGCAAGAGGAUCAAAAGUUCAACGCCAGCCUCACCCAUUUAGUGAAACCCUCAGCAACUUAUCAAGACCCUGUUUCAAAAUUUAAAAAAUAAAAAUAAAAGUGGAUGGGGUUGUAACACAGUGUUAGGGUGCCCCUGGAUUCAGUCUGUAGUACCAAAGACCAAAAAUCAAACAAAAAAAAGCCAACAAUCUUUUCUAAGAAUUGAUAUUGGAAAUCCUGAAAAAUCACUUUCACUAAAUUCUAUUAGUCAAGUGUUAUGGAGCCAACCCAGAUUCUUUUUGUUUGUUUAUUGGCAGUGUUGGGGGUCAAACUUAGGGCUUCAUGCAUGCUAGGAAAGUGCUCUAACCCUGAGCCAGGUUACCCACCAGCCCAAAUUCUUGAUAUAAAGAGCAGCAUGCACAUGCAGAGAAGGAAGUAACAGUUGUGGGCCAUCUUUACAGGCUACCUAGUACAGAUCAGAAGGAGAAUAGAGUAGCAAGCCCUCUAAAUCUCAACGGUCACUCCCUAACACCACACUAUUCAUUCAUUCAUUCAUUCAUUCAUUGUCUCUUUCCCUCUCCUAUGUAAGUUCAUGAGAGUACACACUUUGCUUUGUUCACUGAUGUAUUCCCAGAACUUAGAACAAUGCCUGGCACCUAGUAAAAGCUCGGGAAAUAUUUGAAUGAAUCAAUCAAUCAAUCAUUCAACUGACCUGACCAGACACAGGAAGCUGAGUAGGUGGGGAGGUUUCAUGGAAGAAAUGAAAUUUAAACUGGACUUUAAAGAAUGUGUUCCAUAGUGUGGGAGGCCAUCCUCGCACGAGAUUUGAGUUACCUCCCUGGCUGGGUGAGAGGCGCUUAGACAUAAUGGUGUUAAAGCCAUCCCACACCCUUUCCCAGGUCCGAGGGCUUGUCCGGGCAGAGGCGUGCCUGGCCACUGACCUGAAGACCCUAUCGCCGGCCCUGACCUUGGGAUGCUGCCCCCCUUAACCUUCAUUGGAUAGGAUUUUCCCUUGAAUUUUUUUUUCCCAAUAAAAGCUCACUCCCUGGCGUGCUCUCCCUCUCUCGCUAGUCUCUUCUGUAAACCUCGCCACUGCAUUAGGUGGCUACAGGCAGGAGCUAGGAGAAGCCGUCUCGGAGCUGGGGUUAAAGGUAAAUGAGAAUCUGUCUCUUUAAUUUAAAACUCACUAGCAAUUUCUUAU